rnacentral:rRNA from 1 species
GAUGAACGCUGGCGGCGUGCCUAAUACAUGCAAGUCGAGCGAACAGACGAGGAGCUUGCUCCUCUGACGUUAGCGGCGGACGGGUGAGUAACACGUGGAUAACCUACCUAUAAGACUGGGAUAACUUCGGGAAACCGGAGCUAAUACCGGAUAAUAUAUUGAACCGCAUGGUUCAAUAGUGAAAGACGGUUUUGCUGUCACUUAUAGAUGGAUCCGCGCCGCAUUAGCUAGUUGGUAAGGUAACGGGUUACCAAGGCAACGAUGCGUAGCCGACCGGGGAGGGUGAUCGGCGACACGGGAGGUGAGCCGCGGUCCAGGGUCCUACGGGAGGCAGCAGUAGGGAAUGUUCCGCAGUGGGCGAAAGCCUGACGGAGCAGCGCCGCGUGAGUGAUGAAGGUCUUCGGAUCGUAAAACUCUGUUAUUAGGGAAGAACAAAUGUGUAAGUAACUAUGCACGUCUUGACGGUACCUAAUCAGAAAGCCACGGCUAACUACGUG